rnacentral:rRNA from 1 species
GUAGGGGGCAAGCGUUGUCCGGAAUUAUUGGGCGUAAAGCGCGCGCAGGCGGUCAUGUAAGUCUGGUGUUUAAUCCCGGGGCUCAACCCCGGAUCGCACUGGAAACUGUGUGACUUGAGUGCAGAAGAGGAGAGUGGAAUUCCACGUGUAGCGGUGAAAUGCGUAGAGAUGUGGAGGAACACCAGUGGCGAAGGCGACUCUCUGGGCUGUAACUGACGCUGAGGCGCGAAAGCGUGGGGGAGCAAACAGGAUUAGAUACCCUGGUAGUCCACGCCGUAAACGAUGAGUGCUAGGUGUUAGGGGGUUUCGAUACCCCCCUUGGUGCCGAAGUUAACACAUUAAGCACUCCGCCUGGGGAGUACGGUCGCAAGACUG